rnacentral:rRNA from 1 species
GGGUUGUGAGGUUAAGCGACUAAGCGUACACGGUGGAUGCCCUGGCAGUCAGAGGCGAUGAAGGACGUGCUAAUCUGCGAUAAGCGUCGGUGAGGUGAUAUGAACCGUUAUAACCGGCGAUUUCCGAAUGGGGAAACCCAGUGUGUUUCGACACACUAUCAUUAACUGAAUCCAUAGGUUAAUGAGGCGAACCGGGGGAACUGAAACAUCUAAGUACCCCGAGGAAAAGAAAUCAACCGAGAUUCCCCCAGUAGCGGCGAGCGAACGGGGAGGAGCCCAGAGCCUGAAUCAGUGUGUGUGUUAGUGGAAGCGUCUGGAAAGGCGCGCGAUACAGGGUGACAGCCCCGUACACAAAAAUGCACAUACUGUGAGCUCGAUGAGUAGGGCGGGACACGUGGUAUCCUGUCUGAAUAUGGGGGGACCAUCCUCCAAGGCUAAAUACUCCUGACUGACCGAUAGUGAACCAGUACCGUGAGGGAAAGGCGAAAAGAACCCCGGCGAGGGGAGUGAAAAAGAACCUGAAACCGUGU